GUCCAUGCGGCGCUUGUUACCAGCGCCGGGGAGGAAGUUUCUGCCGGUAGGGAUUAUGCGCAGUUUCCUCAGCCCGGGAGCUUCGGCCUUGUCCCCUCCCACCGCCGAAAAAAGCAGCGAUUCCACAAAACGAGCAGGAGGGGGAAAGCGGUGCGCCACAAACUUAAACCUGCUCUUCUCGCCACCAGGCAGUGCCCGAAGGUUUCUCCUCGCACUUGCUUUUUAUAUAUUUCUAUAUUUUAAAAACAUAUCUCGAGCUCUGCUUGCGCACCACGGUACGUUUUUCAGUAGGAAACAUCCAACGUUUCGGCCAUGUUCGCAGCACCGUGGUACAGAAGUGCAUUGUAUUGGGACCCGAGUAAGGAAGGAGGGAGCGAGGGAGGAGGAGGAGGAGGAGGAGGAGGAGGAUGGUGGUGCUGGAGAAGCACACAGCUGCACGGCACACAGAAGCCGGUUUCCCAACCCUGACAGCAAGGGAGCGAGGGAACAAGGGGCCUCGCUUCAGCAGCUCCAUCCAGGAGAGAGAUGUUCUUUCUUUCUUUCUUUCUUUCUUUCUUUGUAUUUUUUAUUUUUUUUAAACCGCUCUGAAAUACAGAAUGGAUCAGGACGAGAAAGCGGAUUCUUUUCCCUUGUCCGUGGCUGGCUACUCUUAUCCACUACAUGCGACGAGCGGGCGUGCGUGCGAUACGUUUCCGGAGCCGUGCUACAUCAGGUAAGCUUUCCACCGUAAUCUCGUACACUACAGAUGAGCUGUCUAGCAGUAGAGCAUCACGAGGUGUCUUCUCGCACCCGGGCGUAAUCGCUCGACACGCGCCCGAGAGAAAAGACGAGUCUGUCGACGUGCUAGUUUAAGUUCUAACAGUUUCGUCCAGCUACUUUUGUCGUAAUUUGUCUCGUUUUUUUUUUCUUCCCUUUUCAAAAGAAUAAAAUGUUUCUUUUUCGAUUAGCGUCGGGAAUUUGUGACGUAGACAUUUGUGCGUUUGUUGUUUUUAUUUAGUUUGUUUUGCUGUCGUUGUUUUUUUUGGUUUUUUUUCGAGGACGAACCACUUGUCAUAAACCCGUAGAUCCGAUCUUGUGGCGAAUCUAGCAACCCAAGCUCGCUUCUGUGGGUCUCUGUCACUGUGGUGCAAUCAGCCAUUUUCUGCCCAGUUUAAUAGCAUUGGAGUAUUUAUGUUCCGUAGUGGGACGUUUUGGUUUCUCUUUAAAUUUAAUACCCGUCAUGAGGAAAGCUCAGCGGAACAGUACACGCCAUCCCCUUAAUCAUCAGAAAAUCCCCGGUAAAUCUUUUCUGUUUUUUAAACGCGUGUUGUGCUAUAUGUGUUAGUCGCUGUGAGCUUAUUUUUCCAUUUCAAGCUCCAGAUCUGAAGCGCCAGACUACGGAGCGGACCCUGGAUACGAGAAGAAACCGUGUGCAUCCAGGUUGAGGUAGUAGGUUGUAUGGUUUAGAAUUACACCAUGGGAGUUAACUGUACAACCUUCUAGCUUUCCUUGGAGUACACUCAUGUCGUCCAGCGAGACCUCGUCCUGAUGGAAACAUCCCGCAAACAAGGGGCUUUGCUGUAAAGACGUAUUUUUAGCCCACCUUUCCUCGAGAAAAAGCUCCGUUUGUUACACAGAGUUACGACUUUGCAGGGAAUUUGAAUUUGGGAGUCUGAGCGUGUGAUAUACAUUAAUUUCCUACAAGUGCUGGUGUAACAGCUUUUGAAUGUCAAGCGGUGGGUGCGUCUCACUUUCAAGUCAUGUGUGUGAUUAGUCUUUUAAUGAGUUUUCAUUUGUAGAAAGCUUUGCCUGUCCCUGAGGUUGGAUCUGACCAGAUGUUUCCCAUUUCCUCUCACUUUUACCUCCUGUUUCUUCACUUUCUGAUCGUAUACCGAAGCGAUUAGGGUCUAAUAAGACGCCGUCGCGCUUCUCAGUGAGAAGCCGUUGCAAACUAACUACAUUAAACUAACAUUAUGUUGCUCAGAACAGUUUUUGUGAUUGAACUUAAUUGUCUAAGUGUAGACCGUACGUACGUAUUGAAAGUACGUAUUUACUCUUUAGUAAACGGAUCGUUUAGGGUUCUUGGCUACGAUCUUGUCGAGUUGUCGAAUCUGAUUGGUCAGGAAUGAUCGUACGUUUCUAUAGUAACAGAUUUUUUUUAUUAUAAUUAUUUUUUUUAAUCAAAGAUCAACUUAUAACCAUUGAAGCUUUAUGUUAGGACAUGGUUAUUUAGCAUUCAUGGAAGGAGUCUCCAGUUUCAGCACUUUGUAACAGGCAGUUACAAGUACUACUAGAGUAGUGAGGAACGACUGUUUAUAACCGUCACGAUUCAAAGGUAGAGACGGAAGCAAGCGCAGAUUCUUAAACAUUUAUUAACAAACAAACAUACGAAACACUCUGCAACAAGGAAACGAAACACUGUGGCAGAGACAAAGGUAUAGUGAGACGAUAACGUGAGACAGAGUGGGCAUUGCAAACUGCGACUAUAUGCAAGGGUGCUAAUUACCAGGACCGUGAAUCAGGCACAGGUGGUCAUGUGACAGUGAAGCAGUGGCUGUUGGGAACUGUACUUCAGAGUUCCCUUACUGAUUUUAUGGGAAAAUACGUUCACACUACCCCGACUUGGAUUAUUUUCCUCUAAGCGCAUAUCUCAGUGUUUUAUUAUAUCAUAGAAAUCUCUGACGUCAAAUCGAAGGACAUGCCUAGAUUUCUAGUUCAAUCUUCUUUUAAUUGUCCUUAAAAAGUCUGAAAGGUUAGAACAGAGUGGGCGGAGUCUGUAGCUGUAGCAUUCUUAUGAUCGUAUCUCGCCCGUGAAAAUUCUUUCAACGUUCCCGCAAUGCGGAGCGAUUCGUGAUCAACCUCACGAGUAAGCCGGCGGAAACUCUGGCGGAACCCGCCGGCCUCGGGAGGUUCGCGUUGAACGCGGCCGUGCGUAUAAGCUACACGGCUAAGUCACGUAACGACAAAUGGCUUCACCGAGCCAGAUAAAUGAACCCAACAGUGGGUUUUUACGUUAAUGCCGAUGUUUAAUUAAGCAUCCUAAAUGCUCUUUCACCGUCGUGUGCACUCGAUAAGCGUUCGCCGCCUUCCUCGAAAUAAUUCACGAAUUCAAACGUAAAGUAUUACG
ensembl:lncRNA